CGGCUCGUAAAACACUGUUGUAAGAGAAGAAUGACAUUGAGAGUAACUGUUCAAUGUGUGACGGUAUCUUACCAGAAAGGAACGGCUAAAUACGUGCCAGCAGCCGCGGUAAUACGUAUGUUCCAAGCGUUAUCCGGAUUUAUUGGGCGUAAAGCGAGCGCAGACGGUUAUUUAAGUCUGAAGUGAAAGCCCUCAGCUCAACUGAGGAAUUGCUUUGGAAACUGGAUGACUUGAGUGCAGUAGAGGAAAGUGGAACUCCAUGUGUAGCGGUGAAAUGCGUAGAUAUAUGGAAGAACACCAGUGGCGAAGGCGGCUUUCUGGACUGUAACUGACGUUGAGGCUCGAAAGUGUGGGUAGCAAACAGGAUUAGAUACCCUGGUAGUCCACACCGUAAACGAUGAGUGCUAGGUGUUUGAGGGUUUCCGCCCUUAAGUGCCGCAGCUAACGCAUUAAGCACUCCGCCUGGGGAGUACGACCGCAAGGUUGAAACUCAAAGGAAUUGACGGGGACCCGCACAAGCGGUGGAGCAUGUGGUUUAAUUCGAAGCAACGCGAAGAACCUUACCAGGUCUUGACAUCCCUUGACAACUCCAGAGAUGGAGCGUUCCCUUCGGGGACAAGGUGACAGGUGGUGCAUGGUUGUCGUCAGCUCGUGUCGUGAGAUGUUGGGUUAAGUCCCGCAACGAGCGCAACCCUUAUUACUAGUUGCCAGCAUUUAGUUGGGCACUCUAGUGAGACUGCCGGUGACAAACCGGAGGAAGGUGGGGAUGACGUCAAAUCAUCAUGCCCCUUAUGACCUGGGCUACACACGUGCUACAAUGGCGUAUACAACGAGUUGCCAACCCGCGAGGGUGAGCUAAUCUCUUAAAGUACGUCUCAGUUCGGAUUGUAGGCUGCAACUCGCCUACAUGAAGUCGGAAUCGCUAGUAAUCGCGGAUCAGCACGCCGCGGUGAAUACGUUCCCGGGUCUUGUACACACCGCCCGUCACACCAUGAGAGUUUGUAACACCCAAAGCCGGUGGGGUAACCUCGGGAGCCAG
rnacentral:rRNA from 1 species